CCGCCUCGCGCCUCCCCAGGCCGGCCGACAACGCCAGCUUCACCUGGGCCGCGCCCCCUGGACCCGACCCCUCGCUGCCUCACAAUGUCACCUUCCGGGCUCGCUACUCGGACGGCGCAGGGCCUGCCCGGGAGACCAGCCUCGUGCUGCCGCUGCUCGACGAGUGCGAGCUGCGGCUGUCGCCGGCGCAGGCGGAGGUGUCGUGGCUGGAGGUGCCGGCGCCGGCGGCGUGGGGCGGCUGCCGGCUGCGCUGGCCGGGCCCCUCGGUGCUGGUGACG